AGCCCAGAGCCCUGAUAUGCUAAGUAUGUGCUGUGACACUUAAACCCUCAGCCCUGCACUGUGUCGAUAGGAAAAUGACUGACAUCAGUAACGUGCUUACAGCAGUGAAAUUAUAAACUCUGGAGCUGGUCCUGGAGAGGCCAGGUGGGAAGCCAGGUGAGAAGCCAGGUGGGAAGCCAGGUGAGAAGCCAGGUGGGAGGCAAGGUGGGAGGCCAGGUGGGAAGCCAGGUGGGAAGCCAGGUGGGAGGCCAGGU